rnacentral:lncRNA from 1 species
GGACACCAUGCAAAAAUCGUCUGCCUGGCCUGGUCCCCAGACAAUGAACACUUUGCCUCCGGUGGCAUGGACAUGAUGGUGUAUGUUUGGACCCUGAGUGACCCGGAAACCAGAGUCAAGAUCCAAGAUGCACACCGGCUGCACCAUGUCAGCAGCCUGGCCUGGCUGGACGAGCACACGCUGGUCACGACCUCCCAUGAUGCCUCUGUCAAGGAGUGGACAAUCACCUACUGAGGAGCCCCACCCCCGCCUCUGGAUGGACCGAAUCAGGGACUAGAGUUUAACUGCAGCGGAACAUGUCAUUUCUCUAUUUCUGUGACGCGCCCCCAUGCCCCCACCCCACCACAAGAGGCAGGAGGGCCCAGUCAUGACCCUCGUCUCUGCAGGGUGUCUGUACACGUUCUUCUGAAAGCUUUAGACAGUAACAGUUUGCACAUGAAAAAUAAAGCGAGCACCUAAACAAUGUGUGGAGCAUAACUAAAACCCACAGCCCAACCAAACCUUGAGAAUGCGAAACAUUCCAGAGGCAGUAGCCUCCAAAGCACACAGAGCCCCUGGCCCCGCCGCGGCUCUCACUAUCUGUCAGGGGAGGUUGUACAGGUGAAUGAGCCGGGGGGCUCAUGUUCCUGCCUGCAGAACAUUUCUGUACUAGUGAGAAGAGGGAAUAUGCAUUGCAGUUCAGCAAAGCCGGAAUUCUGUGUUGAACAGAUGUCUGUCUCCCUAGUGUGUGACUCACACCUUGUGGCUGCCUUCAGAGCGCCACCUCCAGAUCAGAUGGGGACACACAACCCCUGGAUAUGUUUCAUUGUCAGAUUUUGUGCUUGAUUUUAAGAAUGGAAUUGUGGGUAUCUUUCCUUUUUUUUUAAUGUAUCUUAACUGUUGCCUGUCAGUGUUUACAAACUAGUGCGUUGACGGCACCGUGUCCAAGUUUUUAGAACCCUUGUUAGCCAGACCGAGGUGUCCUGGUCACCGUUUCACCAUCAUGCUUUGAUGUUCCCCUGUCUUUCCCUCUUCUGCUCUCAAGAGCAAAGGUUAAUUUAAGGACAAAGAUGAAGUCACUGUAAACUAAUCUGUCAUUGUUUUUACCUUCCUUUUCUUUUUCAGUGCAGAAAUUAAAAGCUGAGGCUGAGUUGCAUCUACAUUUUGGUUUGAGAAGAGGCAGAAAGUGUGGCAGAGGCACACGUGCAGUCUUCAGGGCCACACCCCCGCCAUGUCCACUCCCAUUUUAGGAGGAACUGUUAGUCAGAUGCAGAAGACGUAGGAAGACAAGCCACAGUUGUAUGGUUGCUGCCUGUGAAGCAGUGAGCCACCUGUCCCUGUGUGCAGCAAAUGGAUGGCAGCUCAAAGGGUUAAACUGAAGAUAAUUGAAUGAAGGGACCCUUUGGAGAGGCGCAGACGGAAUCUCUCUGUCAGCCAGGCUGGAGUGUGGUGGCACAAUCUCGGCUCACUGCAACCUCCGCCUCCCAGGUUCAAGCAAUUCUCCUGCCUCAGCUUCCUGAGUAGCUGGAACUACAGGUGGUGCCACCAUACCUAGCUAAUUUUUCCUCUUUUUAGUAGAGAUACAGGGCUGCGUGGGGAUUACAUGAAAUACUCCAAGUAAAGCCCUAAAUGAAUACUUGACCCACAGCAAAUAUAAUUAAUAUUAGGAAUUAUCAUUGUUUUAGUAGAUGUGAAAGAAAGGCUGUUAUCAAACUAUAAGUAAUGUAUACAUGCUAGUUACCACUGUGAACACAGGACAUGAAAUAAGUAUCCAAUUAGUGAUAAUAUACAAUGAAUUGUGACUGUGCUCCCAGAGAAGCCAGGUGAAGGCCAGGGGAAAUUCAGAGGACCAUCUCUGGCUGGGACAUCAGGGCAGGCUUCCUGGAGCAGGAGGUCCCUCAAGACUGGAGAGGACACUUUCAGGAAGUCAACCAAGACUGAGGAUGUGACUGACAUUCCUGGAAAAUAUCAAGGUGGAAUUUAGUAUCUUCCAGUGUUCUUACAUGGAAUCAUUUGUUCAUUUCUCCUGUGGAGAUUAAAAAACUACAAACCUCACAUUCUUUACCAUAAAAAUCUCCCAUUUUUAAAAUUCUUAUAUUUAGUCCUAGAUUUCUGUGAGUCUUCCUCAUUUGCCCCUGGCUAUCAUCAUCCUACAUAAAAUCAGGGAUGGUUGGCAUCCUAACUGGCAGCUACUAGGAAAAGGAAACUGAGAGAAGAUAGGAUUCUAAAGCUGCCACUGCCUGGAAAAUCUUGUUAGAUAAUGAUACAAGUUAGGAGCAUUGAUAACAACACGUUUUUCACUUACUGAGGUCUAAGUUUUGGGUCAUCCAAUUGUCAUCCUACUCUUUACCUUGUCACCACAAAAAUGUUCUUGCUGGGUGAGUCGGAAUGUAUUAAUUACCUAUCAAACAAUUGAAUAUUAUAUCAAUAAAUUAUGUAAAUAUUAAUAUUUUAAUAAAUAGCAAUACAAAUUAA